rnacentral:rRNA from 1 species
AUUGAACGCUGGCGGCAUGCCUUACACAUGCAAGUCGAACGGCAGCAUGAUCUAGCUUGCUAGAUUGAUGGCGAGUGGCGAACGGGUGAGUAAUACAUCGGAACGUGCCCUGUAGUGGGGGAUAACUAGUCGAAAGAUUAGCUAAUACCGCAUACGACCUGAGGGUGAAAGUGGGGGACCGCAAGGCCUCAUGCUAUAGGAGCGGCCGAUGUCUGAUUAGCUAGUUGGUGAGGUAAAGGCUCACCAAGGCGACGAUCAGUAGCUGGUCUGAGAGGACGAUCAGCCACACUGGGACUGAGACACGGCCCAGACUCCUACGGGAGGCAGCAGUGGGGAAUUUUGGACAAUGGGGGCAACCCUGAUCCAGCAAUGCCGCGUGUGUGAAGAAGGCCUUCGGGUUGUAAAGCACUUUUGUCCGGAAAGAAAUCGCACUUACUAAUAUUAAGG